rnacentral:rRNA from 1 species
AUACGGAGGGUCCAAGCGUUAUCCGGAUUCAUUGGGUUUAAAGGGUCCGCAGGCGGGAAAAUAAGUCAGUGGUGAAAGCCUACAGCUCAACUGUAGAACUGCCAUUGAUACUGUUUUUCUUGAGUAUAGAUGAAGUGGGCGGAAUAUAUCAUGUAGCGGUGAAAUGCAUAGAUAUGAUAUAGAACACCGAUUGCGAAGGCAGCUCACUAAACUAUUACUGACGCUCAGGGACGAAAGCGUGGGGAGCGAACAGGAUUAGAAACCCCGGUAGUCC